AUGAAGCUCCUUCGGGAGUGGAUUAGCGGCGGACGGGUGAGUAACACGUGGGCAACCUGCCUCAAAGUGGGGAAUAGCCCUCCGAAAGGAGGAUUAAUACCGCAUAACAUGAAGGAAUCGCAUGGUACCUUCAUUAAAGAUUUAUCGCUUUGAGAUGGGCCCGCGGCGCAUUAGCUAGUUGGUGAGGUAACGGCUCACCAAGGCGACGAUGCGUAGCCGACCUGAGAGGGUGAUCGGCCACAUUGGAACUGAGACACGGUCCAGACUCCUACGGGAGGCAGCAGUGGGGAAUAUUGCGCAAUGGGGGAAACCCUGACGCAGCAACGCCGCGUGAGUGAUGAAGGUCUUCGGAUUGUAAAACUCUGUCUUCAGGGACGAUAAUGACGGUACCUGAGGAGGAAGCCACGGCUAACUACGUGCCAGCAGCCGCGGUAAUACGUAGGUGGCAAGCGUUGUCCGGAUUUACUGGGCGUAAAGAGUAUGUAGGCGGAUAUUUAAGUCAGAUGUGAAAUUCCCGGGCUUAACCUGGGAGCUGCAUUUGAUACUGGAUAUCUAGAGUGCAGGAGAGGAAAGUGGAAUUCCUAGUGUAGCGGUGAAAUGCGUAGAGAUUAGGAAGAACACCAGUGGCGAAGGCGACUUUCUGGACUGUAACUGACGCUGA
rnacentral:rRNA from 1 species